AUUGAACGCUGGCGGCAUGCCUUACACAUGCAAGUCGAACGGCAGCACGGGUGCUUGCACCUGGUGGCGAGUGGCGAACGGGUGAGUAAUACAUCGGAACGUACCUUAUCGUGGGGGAUAACGCAGCGAAAGCUGUGCUAAUACCGCAUACGCCCUGAGGGGGAAAGCGGGGGAUCGCAAGACCUCGCGCGAUUAGAGCGGCCGAUGCCUGAUUAGCUUGUUGGUGGGGUAAAAGCCCACCAAGGCGACGAGCAGUAGCUGGGCUGAGAGGACGAUCAGCCACACUGGGACUGAGACACGGCCCAGACUCCUACGGGAGGCAGCAGUGGGGAAUUUUGGACAAUGGGGGCAACCCUGAUCCAGCAAUGCCGCGUGAGUGAAGAAGGCCUUCGGGUUGUAAAGCUCUUUUGUCAGGGAAGAAACACCGGCUCUAACACAGUCUGGGAAUGACGGUACCUGAAGAAUAAGCACCGGCUAACUACGUGCCAGCCGCCGCCGUAA
rnacentral:rRNA from 1 species